UUUCAAACCGCGGCUGGCUUGACCGCAGUCCCUGUUCAGCGCUGCAUGACUUCUCUGUUGUUCAUUCUGUGCCGCUGUAUGCCUCCUCUCUUGUCAGUGUGAAACUUCUUUGAAACAAACUUUAUUGUAUGAAUCGUCAUAUGAAUAAAGCAUCUCGGCAGUGUGAUGUGUGCGGGUGCCUCACUUCUUGUGCUUAUCGUGUGUGACAGCACGUUGACAGCAGGGGGAAGGAAAAGAAAACAGAACCGUGUGGGUUUGUGCUUGCCACUGGAUGUCAAAGAAAUGACAUACAGAAGCUCAGAGGGAAUUAUAAAAGCCAUGAUAAAAAUCAAAUAUAAGUGGAGAGAUAAAAUGCUUUAGAUGGCUUGUGAGGACAGGAAUGUUGAUAUUAAGAAACAACAGAGUAGAAUUGCCUUGUAUCUAAAUGGAUCGACUUGUCUCUAAAUAUAAUGACCAGAGAUAUUUUGUUGAAGUGAAAGUUCAUCUAAAAACUUCCAUGGCGCUCCAAACCCAUAUAACUUACUUCCUUGUUUAGAACACAAAAACACUUAGCAGAAUGUCCAAGAUGUUGUUUAUCCUAUGAAAAUGGAUGGACUUUGGAGUGUAACUGAUGACAGAAUUAACAUAAAAUCUCUGUGAUG